rnacentral:tRNA from 1 species
UAGAAAUUGGUGUAGAGGUAGCACAUGGAAUUUUGAGUUCCAUAGGGAGGGUUCAAAUCCCUUUUUUCUAA